CGAUAAGCAAUGGAUGAAUCUUGUUAAUGAUCGGUUAAGUGAAGCAUAUCAAUUAGGCAUUAAGAACUUUUUAAACUAUGCUUCAAAAAAGGUGGGAGAUCAUUAAAUUCGAUGUCCAUGUGUAAAGUGUAACAACACUUACUCUAGAAGUCAUAAAGUGAUUGAAACUCAUUUAACAGUUUAUGGCAUAGUCCAAAAUUAUACAUUUUGGUAUCACCAUGGAGAAAGGUUAGGUGAAUCUGAAUCUGAUAGUGAAGAAGAUGAGAUAGUAGAAAUCGAAGGAGAAGAAGAGAUUCAUGGGAUUAUGAGGGAUUUUUUUCCUAGUUUUGAUGCGUUUAACAAAAAUGAAGUGAAUUUUGGUGGCUCAAGCUAUAAUGUUCAAAAAGAGGAUCCUAAUGAUGAAGCAAAGAAAUUUUAUAGAUUGUUGAGAGAUUUGGAGCAACCGUUAUAUGAGGGUUCUAAGAUUUCAAAAUUGUCAACUAUAAUCAAACUUUUACAUAUUAAGAGCCUUGGUCAUUGGAGUAACGAGUCAUUCACCAUGUUAUUACAAACGUUAAAAGAUGAAUUACUCCCUGAUGGUUCUACAUUGCCAAGUUCAUAUUAUGAGACAAAAAAGAUUAUUCAAGAUCUCGGGCUCUCUUACAAAAAGAUUGAUGCAUGUGUUAAUAAUUGUAUGUUAUAUUGGAAGAAAGAUGAGGAGUCUAACUUUUGUAGUAUAUGUGGUGCUUCAAGAUAGAAAAAUGAUAAUGGAGGAAUCAAAGUUGGAAGGAAUGGCAAAAGAAAACCAAUGAAAAUAUUGCGAUACUUCCCUUUAAAGUCAAGACUUCAAAGGCUAUUCAUGUCUAGUAAGAUAGCAUCCUUUAUGAGAUGGCACCAUGAAAAAAGAGUUGAUGAUGGAGUAAUGAGGCACCCAGCUGAUUCUUUACAAUGGAAAUCUUUUGAUGAAAUGCACAAUGUUUUUGCUUCAGAGCCUCGUAAUGUGAGACUUGGUCUUACAAGCGACGACUUCCAACCAUUUGCACAUUCUAAGAUUUCAUAUAGUAUUUGGCCAGUAUUCCUUAUUCCAUACAAUUUUCCUCCUUGGAUGUGCAUGAAAGACUCAAAUUUCAUUUUAUCAAUGCUCAUACCUGGUCCUGAUGGUCCGGGAGAUGCUAUUGAUGUCUAUUUACAACCUUUAAUAGAAGAAUUGCAAGAGUUGUGGGAAGUAGGAGUUGAAACAUUUGAUGCCUCAGUUCACCAAAAUUUCAAGAUGCAUGCAGCUUUAUUGUGGACCAUUAAUGAUUUUCCUGCAUAUGGAAACUUGUCAGGUUGGAGCACUAAAGGCAAAUUGGCUUGUCCUUGUUGUAACAAGGAUACAUUUUCUAUGAGGUUAGACAAUAGUAAAAAGCAAUGUUUCAUGCGCCACCGUCGUUAUCUUCCAAUGAAUCACAAAUGGCGUAGUGACAAGAAAUCAUUUGAUGGCACAAAAGAGUAUGGAUUACCACCAAAACCUCUUUCUGGUGAGGAUAUUCUAAAUCAAGUGAAAGAUCUCGAAGGGGUCAUUUUAUCUAAAGAUGCUAGCAAAAAGACAAAAGUUUCACAUAAUAAUAGGGGGGAUAAUUGGAAUAAGAAAAGCAUUUUUUUCAAACUUCCAUACUGGAGUAGUCUUAUGUUGCGACAUAAUUUGGAUGUGAUGCAUAUAGAAAAAAACAUAUGUGAUAAUGUGCUUGGAACAAUUAUGAACAUUAAAGGGAAGACCAAAGAUACUAUUAAAACUCGUCUUGAUUUGCAAGCGAUGAAUAUCAGAUCAGAGUUGCACCCAGUAAAAAAAGGAGAUAAGUUUGUGUUGCCAGUUGCAUCCUACACAUUAUCUCCAGAAGAAAAACAUGCGUUUUGUGUGUUUUUGAAGAAAUUAAAAGUUCCAUAUGGGUUUUCAUCUAACAUUUCACAUUGUGUUAAUAUUAAAGAAGACAAGAUUUUAGGUUUGAAGAGCCAUGAUUGUCAUGUUCUCUUACAACACCUACUUCCUCUUGCAUUACGUGGUAUUCUUCCUAAAUCAGUAUAUGAACCACUUUUUGAGUUGUCUUUAUUUUUCAAAAUUUUGGGUGCUAAGACUUUACGGAUGGAUGAGUUAGAGCAGAUUGAAUCUCAAAUUCCCAUAACCCUUUGUAAAUUAGAAAUGAACUUUCCCCCUUCAUUUUUUGAUGUGAUGAUCCAUUUGCCUAGUCAUUUAGCCUUUGAAGCCAGAGUUGUAUCGUGACUACACUUUGGAACAUAUGAAUACCUUGUGGGUAAAUUGGAGAUCAUGUUUAAAUGCAAAAUAUGUUAAACCUUGCAAAACCGUAGCUGAAGCUUUAAAAAAUAAGCCAGAAGGUAUGGAGAAAGAAGAUUGGGAAUGGUUGACUAAACACUUUUUUACUAAGGAUUUUCAGAAAAUAAGCUCUCAAGCCUCUCAAAACAGAGCUAAAUCUUCAAUGCCUCAUCGUACGGGUAGUAAACCUCAUAGACAGAUUAUUUAUGACAUGGUAAUAAAUAGUAAUUUGUUUAUUUAUGAUAUAUAUUGUUCAAUAUAAUUUUUUUGAUGACUUUGUAUAACUACCAAAAGGGAGGAAAAGAAGGUAAUCCACCUGAUAUGGGAAUACUCUUUUUUGAAACUCGAAAAAAGGAUGGAAAGUUGGUUGAGCCUGAAACUGAAGAAAAACAUCUUCAAAUUGUAAAGACUAUUCAAGCUGAGCCAACACUUUCUAUUAUUGAGGUAAUUGAAAAAUGUUUUGGAGCACAACAUCACAGCAAUGUAUUUGGCUAUGGGGGUGGAAUUAAACGAAAAAACUUCAAAGAUCCUAGACAAAAGAAGAUGGAUGAACUUCAAGCCAAACUUCAUAAUAAGGAUGAAGAAAAUCGCAUCCUCAAGAGGCACAUCGCAAAGAUUGAAGAGAGAUUGCUAAGGAUUGAACAUUUUAUGCAACAAAACCCAAAUGUGUCCACUGAAUUUCCCUUAUCAGAACUUGAUCAGGAACUUCAUAAGAAUGAUGUUUAAAAGCUAGACAACAUGAAAGCAUUUUGGCAACUUUUUUGUUGGAUAGGAGAGUAAAAUCUUUAUCUUUAGAAGGAUGCUCACUACUAACAACAAAAGGAAUUACAACUGGAUGAAUUUGUCACACAUGAGAUGAAGUUUGAAGACAUCAAUAAAGCCUUCGAUUUACUUAUUCAAGGGAAGUGUCUACGAUGCUUGAUAUGGAUGGACAAAUAAGGGAGUUUGCCUUCAAGUCUUCUCAGAGGUGCCUGCAAACAUUUACUGCUCUUGUUCGGUUCUCGUGCUCAUGGAUAUGUAAGAUUCUCAAUUUGUUCGUAUGAGUGACAGAAUCUUCUAUUGCACAAUUUCAAAAUCACGUUAUGUAAUAUUCGAGACAUAAUGGUUUCUUAUUAUUCAGCGAAAUUCAAUAUAAAUGAGUAAUAAAUCA